AUACGGAGGAUGCGAGCGUUAUCCGGAUUUAUUGGGUUAAAGGGAGCGUAGGUGGGAUAUUAAGUCAGCUGUGAAAGUUUGGGGCUCAACCUUAAAAUUGCAGUUGAUACUGGUUUCCUUGAGUACGGUACAGGUGGGCGGAAUUCGUGGUGUAGCGGUGAAAUGCUUAGAUAUCACGAAGAACUCCGAUCGCGAAGGCAGCUCACCGGGCCGGAACUGACACUGAUGCUCGAAAGUGCGGGUAUCAAACAGGAUUAGAUACCCUGGUAGUCCGCACAGUAAACGAUGAAUACUCGCUGUUUGCGAUACACUGUAAGCGGCCAAGCGAAAGCGUUAAGUAUUCCACCUGGGGAGUACGCCGGCAACGGUGAAACUCAAAGGAAUUGACGGGG
rnacentral:rRNA from 1 species